rnacentral:rRNA from 1 species
GAUGAACGCUGGCGGCGUGCCUAAUACAUGCAAGUCGAGCGAACAGACGAGGAGCUUGCUCCUCUGACGUUAGCGGCGGACGGGUGAGUAACACGUGGAUAACCUACCUAUAAGACUGGGAUAACUUCGGGAAACCGGAGCUAAUACCGGAUAAUAUAUUGAACCGCAUGGUUCAAUAGUGAAAGACGGUUUUGCUGUCACUUAUAGAUGGAUCCGCGCCGCAUUAGCUAGUUGGUAAGGUAACGGCUUACCAAGGCGACGAUGCGUAGCCGACCUGAGAGGGUGAUCGGCCACACUGGAACUGAGACACGGUCCAGACUCCUACGGGAGGCAGCAGUAGGAAAUCUUCCGCAAUGGGCGAAAGCUUGACGGAGCAACGCCGCGUGAGUGAUGAAGGUCUUCGGAUCGUAAAACUCUGUUAUUAGGGAAGAACAAAUGUGUAAGUAACUAUGCACGUCUUGACGGUACCUAAUCAGAAAGCCACGACUAACUACGUG